rnacentral:rRNA from 1 species
CGGGACACGUGGUAUCCUGUCUGAAUAUGGGGGGACCAUCCUCCAAGGCUAAAUACUCCUGACUGACCGAUAGUGAACCAGUACCGUGAGGGAAAGGCGAAAAGAACCCCGGCGAGGGGAGUGAAAAAGAACCUGAAACCGUGUACGUACAAGCAGUGGGAGCCUCUUAAUGGGGUGACUGCGUACCUUUUGUAUAAUGGGUCAGCGACUUAUAUUCUGUAGCAAGGUUAACCGAAUAGGGGAGCCGAAGGGAAACCGAGUCUUAACUGGGCGUUAAGUUGCAGGGUAUAGACCCGAAACCCGGUGAUCUAGCCAUGGGCAGGUUGAAGGUUGGGUAACACUAACUGGAGGACCGAACCGACUAAUGUUGAAAAAUUAGCGGAUGACUUGUGGCUGGGGGUGAAAGGCCAAUCAAACCGGGAGAUAGCUGGUUCUCCCCGAAAGCUAUUUAGGUAGCGCCUCGUGAAUUCAUCUCCGGGGGUAGAGCACUGUUUCGGCAAGGGGGUCAUCCCGACUUACCAACCCGAUGCAAACUGCGAAUACCGGAGAAUGUUAUCACGGGAGACACACGGCGGGUGCUAACGUCCGUCGUGAAGAGGGAAACAACCCAGACCGCCAGCUAAGGUCCCAAAGUCAUGGUUAAGUGGGAAACGAUGUGGGAAGGCCCAGACAGCCAGGAUGUUGGCUUAGAAGCAGCCAUCAUUUAAAGAAAGCGUAAUAGCUCACUGGUCGAGUCGGCCUGCGCGGAAGAUGUAACGGGGCUAAACCAUGCACCGAAGCUGCGGCAGCGACGCUUAUGCGU